UGCUAUCAGUUUGAGUCAUUGAACAAACACGGGAUCUGAUUCUGUCCAAAACCCUUUGGCUCAUAUUUGACCAGCAACAGUGAGAAUUUUGCCUGAAAAAGACACUCAGGCUCAAAAUUAGUAUUACUAACUCUCAUCAUUGUAUGCCUUGUUGAGCGUUUUUCUUUAAAUCCCAGAUACUGUAAUCGAGAAGACAUGUUAUGAAACCGUAAUUCGUAACACAGCAAGUUUCUACCUAUCAUAGGUUCCCUCAAAACCCUGAAUGUGGAAAGGAAGCACUCAAAAGCCUGAGGGUAAACAAAGAACCCACAGCGUGCCAGGGAUUUUGCUUUUUUGCUUCUUAAACUGUCUGGUUUGAAAAUCAUCCUGUGAUUUACCAGAGGCAAGGGAGAUUUUCAGUUUUCAAAUAUUUCUUACUGACAGUAGAACCAUGAUGAUGUCAGAAAAGGAGGAAUCGCAUAAAUUCACGUGAUACACUGUACGUGCUUAUCAGAACCUUUAAAAUGCCACUCUGACGUUACUGCUGUCAGUGGUUAUCGAUGUCAGAAAUCAAGGUCCUAGGUAUUUUUUGAACAUCUCUCAUGAAAAUAUCGUUUAAGUCUGUUUAUUGAAAAAUCUAUUUCUAAAUGCUGACGGUUACUUUCAACAUGAUCACUAAUUGUGCAUAUAAAAACACUUUGAAAACAUUCACUAACAAGUUGUGAUAUUUAAAUUAUCAUAAACGGCCAAAAUUAUAACAUGAAAAUUUACCUAUUUUUCUUUGCAAAUUUGCUUUUAAUUGCUAUCAGUUUCAGAAAUUACAAAAAACUCUCAUUUCUCUUUUCUUACCUACCAUACAGAACUGACAACCUUCGAAGCACUCAACGUAUUUGUAUUACGGGAAGAUACAGGACUAGCACUGAGAAGACAGAUAAGAGUCUGGUUCUGCCACUACUUAUAGGAGAAGUCUGCCAGCCUCUCCUAGAGAAUCUGAGAAGUCCUAAACUCUACCUUGUUCUCAUCACCCUCCUUGUAGAAGGAAACAGAAACAGUGUUUCUAUUUAUAAAGAAACACUUCAUAUCAUUUUUGGGAUGAGGAUGCCCUUCCAAAAAAAGCAUAGUGAAUCUUUUUGUUUGUUUCUUUCUUUCCACCAUUCUUGCCUUUGGAGCAUUAAGUGUCCGCAUUCUAAUACGUGUCAUGUGUAACAGUAUUGCAAAGAGAGGAAUUACUAACAUUUUCUGGGAAUACGUGACCUUACUAUUAUCAGAAAGCAUCAAAAGCCAUUAUCUAAGGGACACAAAGUAGUUUUCUGAAGCAGAUUUCUGAAAAUAUAAUUUUUCUUUUUC
rnacentral:lncRNA from 1 species